rnacentral:rRNA from 1 species
GUAAUGUAUGGGGAUCUGCCUGAUGGCGGGGGAUAACUACUGGAAACGGUAGCUAAUACCGCAUAAUGUCUGCGGACCAAAGCGGGGGACCUCCGGGCCUCGCGCCAUCAGAUGAACCCAUAUGGGAUUAGCUAGUAGGUAAGGUAACGGCUUACCUAGGCGACGAUCCCUAGCUGGUCUGAGAGGAUGAUCAGCCACACUGGGACUGAGACACGGCCCAG